ensembl:rRNA 5S_rRNA 5S ribosomal RNA
UCCAGCAGCCAAAUCACCCUGCAACUCACAACUGGCAACCCACUGAAGCUCAGCAGGUGUGAGCCUGGUCAGUACCUGGAUGGGAGACCUCCUGGGAAAAACUAAGGUUGCUGCUGGAA